rnacentral:rRNA from 1 species
UUCCAGACUCCUACGGGAGGCAGCAGUGAGGAAUAUUGGUCAAUGGGCGGGAGCCUGAACCAGCCAAGCCGCGUGAAGGAAGAAGGCGCCAGGCGUCGUAAACUUCUUUUGUCGGGGAACAAAGGGCGCCACGUGUGGCGUUGUGAGUGUACCCGAAGAAAAAGCAUCGGCUAACUCCGUGCCAGCAGCCGCGGUAAUACGGAGGAUGCGAGCGUUAUCCGGAUUUAUUGGGUUUAAAGGGUGCGCAGGCGGCACGGCAAGCCGGCGGUCAAAUCGCGGGGCUCAACCCCGCCCAGCCGUCGGAACUGCCGGGCUAGAGUGGGCGAGAAGUGCGCGGAAUGCGUGGUGUAGCGGUGAAAUGCAUAGAUAUCACGCAGAACUCCGAUUGCGAAGGCAGCGCACCGGCGCCCUACUGACGCUCAGGCACGAAAGCGUGGGUAUCGAACAGGAUUAGAUACCCCCGUAAU